UUCAGCUUGUUGGUGAGGUAAUGGCUCACCAAGGCGACGACGGGUAGCCGGCCUGAGAGGGUGACCGGCCACACUGGGACUGAGACACGGCCCAGACUCCUACGGGAGGCAGCAGUGGGGAAUAUUGCACAAUGGGCGAAAGCCUGAUGCAGCGACGCCGCGUGAGGGAUGACGGCCUUCGGGUUGUAAACCUCUUUCAGUAGGGAAGAAGCGAAAGUGACGGUACCUGCAGAAGAAGCGCCGGCUAACUACGUGCCAGCAGCCGCGGUAAUACGUAGGGCGCAAGCGUUAUCCGGAUUUAUUGGGCGUAAAGAGCUCGUAGGCGGUUUGUCGCGUCUGCCGUGAAAGUCCGAGGCUCAACCUCGGAUCUGCGGUGGGUACGGGCAGACUAGAGUGAUGUAGGGGAGACUGGAAUUCCUGGUGUAGCGGUGAAAUGCGCAGAUAUCAGGAGGAACACCGAUGGCGAAGGCAGGUCUCUGGGCAUUUACUGACGCUGAGGAGCGAAAGCAUGGGGAGCGAACAGGAUUAGAUACCCUGGUAGUCCAUGCCGUAAACGUUGGGCACUAGGUGUGGGGGACAUUCCACGU
rnacentral:rRNA from 1 species